rnacentral:lncRNA from 1 species
GAAAUGCGUUAAGGGUCCACAUGUUCGCGGCUAAAUUGAGGUCAAGAAGUCAGUUUCACGCUGAGAUUUAGACGAUUGGUUUCAUGUUCUGUGUAAAACUUGAAUCAAUGCUUGUUGAAAAAAAAAAUGAAUCUAACGACAGAGCUGUUACUUCUGCUGAUCGAUAAGCCAACCAAGAGGACCACCGCAAAACUCGUGAAAUGGUUACAGAAAAAGAGACUUCUAGCAAGGAAGAUGUCUUGUCAGAUUUGUGGUCGUGGCAUGAAAAUGAAAAGACGGCACGAUACAUCAGAUGGCUUUCACUGGGAAUGCAGACAUCAAAGCCACAGAGGCAGAAAAUGCAGUAGAACUGUCAGAGCAAAAUCACUUUUUCAGAAUUCAAAAAAUUCCCUCUCUUCGUGGAUGACAUUUAUUUACCGGUUUUCUCAGGGCUUGCACCUCAGGCAAAUCGACAUGAAGCAAGAUGGGAUUGCAAGAAGUUCCCGAACUAUGUCCAGAAUGGCUGCAGCAUUAAGAAAGGUUUGCAGUUGUGCUAUGAGGCGCUAUAAACGAAGAAGUGGGCAAAUUAUUGGAGAUCCAAGAGAAUUUGCUGUUAUUGACGAAAGCAGCUUCCGUCAUAAACGGAAGAUAAGUAAAGGGUGACGGCUCAGGGUUCUGACUAUUACCAUGUAAAUAUUCACAUUGUGAAGUCACAAAGGAGUAACCUACAGUUAGGGCUGCACAAUUAAUUGCAUGCAUUUGUCAUGCGUGUCUCAUCAGUAAAGCCGGUUCUGUGAUUAGGGGUAAAUGUCUGUCACCUGUUUUCAAAUGCACCGGGAGUUAAUACACAGAGCCGUAGUUCACUGACAAGCUAUGCAAUAUCGUGUUCAUAAUCGAAUGCGAUUCAUCUCAAUUAUGAACACAAUAUCGCGUAGCUUGUCAGUGAAAAAUGUAUCUUUGUAUAAAAUGCCGCUCCCGUUUGAAAACAGGUGACAGACAUUAACCGAGGUGACAGACAAAUGCAUGUAAUUAAUCGUGCAGUCCUACCUACAGUGGAGAUCAAAAAUAGAGAGCAAUUUAUGAACACUUGAUUUAUUUUCAGAAAUGUUUUUCGUUCAGAAUUUGAAGGAAUUUUAGUUGUGGCCAUGCCAUGCUAGUAGAACAGUGUUUAACAAAAUAACCAAAGAAAAGAAAAAAAACUAUUUUGUGAUCAAAAUUAGAGAACCGUAUCGAUUAUAGCACAAAAAAAUUACAUUUGAAAUCUCUAAAGGCACAUCACAUAAAUCAAAUGUUAGUAGAAAGUGUACAAACCUUUGCUUUGAAUGACUGAAUGACUUUGACUUUGAAUGAUGAGCACAUCUAAAGCCAGUCUUUGCUCUGCUGUGAUCUUUGCCCAUUCUUCUUCCAGUCUCUUCCACAGUUUGCUGACUGUAAUGAGUUUCUUAUAUAUGUAUAACUUUGUCACCAGGACUCUGGACUGCCAUUUUUUAUUUCAGGGUUUUCAGCUUGCUAUCAUAACUGAAGUGAACUUUGGGCCGGUUCUUCUGUUCACACAACAUGCCCCUCAGUAAAAGUUAGACUAGCCUUUUGACAAGAGGUUUGUUCACUGCAGAGUGGGCACACAAUUCCAGCUGCAGUGUUGAACUGAUUGCCUCUUGAGAUUUUCUGCAUUAUCCAGUCCUCUUGUGCAUUAAACAAACUUUAUCUUUCGUGAAUGAUCAGCCGUUUUGGGCGACUUGAAUAAGUUAGUGACUGUAAAGACGCAUAAUUCUAGAACUCACAGAUUUGGAAUGAUCAGCUUCUCUUGCUAUGGCUGAAAGGGUCAACCCAUUUGGCCUUCACCUGGACAACCGGAUGUCACUUUAGAACGGUUCAUCAUCUUGCAAAGGCAGCUAGAAAGUUAGACUGCCGGUUAAACAGGGUUUGUCAGAAACUGCAAUUAAGGAAAUAAGCACUGGGUGCCAGAUUAAAAGUUAUCUGAAAGUGUUCUCUAAUUUUGAUAAGUGUUCUUUUUCAAAUAUCUCCUUUAAGUUUUUCUAUACUGUACAAUAUGUUUAACUAAAAUUGCUCAUAAAUAUGCUUAACUGCUUUCAAUCCUGUUUGUAUAACUUCAAAUAGGACUAAGCAGUGACCACGACAUUUAGGAAAUUGUAGGUUGUGCUUUAAUUUUGAUGCACUGUAAUUUAAUAAUCUUUUUUUUUUUUUUUUUUAUAAUUGUUUUUUAUUAUGCAAAUACAAAGAAAACAGAGAGAUUGUACAAUAAUCAACCUGGUUUUCCAGCCAAGUUCAUUCAAAUGUUUACCAGUACUUAACAAUAACCUCUAUACAAUAGGGGAGAAAAAAAAAAAAAAAAAAAAUUAGAUUUAACACAAGGAACACUCCCCUUCGCCUUAUACAUACAUCUCUCUUUUCUUUUUCCUUUUCUCUUUUCUCUUUUAUUAGACAAAAGACAACAGACAAGACAAAUCAGACAACUAUUUAGACAUUCCAGAUAAGUUACAACACACAGGACAAGUCACACUAACAUUAAUAGUAAUAAUAAUAAUAAUAAAUCAUUCAGACACACACACACACACACACACACACACACUAUACUACUGGUGCUCCAAGUAACUGUUAAGAGGGAGAAAAAAAAAAAAAAGAAGAAAUGUUAGUAUUACCAUAUUAAAUUUACAAACCUAUAAAUUAAAAUACAGAUUUGAGUUAAGCAGAUCUAGCAUUGGGCUAAUUACAGAGCAUCAAAAAUUGGUUUCCACACAAAAUUAAACUGUUUUUGUUUAUUUUUAUCCACUGACAGAGCUUUCUCAAUAUUUAGGUAAUACUUCAUUACAUUUUUCCAUUUAUCUAACCCUGGGGUAUCUACGUUUUUCCAAUUUUGUAACAACAAUUUUUUUAUAAACUAAUGAGGAAAAUAUUAAUUGCCAUCCCAUAGGAUAUUUCAUUUUUGUUACAUUUUGGAGUAAGCAAGCUUCUGGUGUAAAUACAAAUUUCUGCUUACAGAUGUUAGAGAGCCAUCUCUCAAUAUCAAACCAGGUUUUCUUUAUUUUUUUGCAAUACCAAAAUGAAUGAGUGAGAUAAUCACUGCAACCGCACUUUAAGCAGGUGGGGGGGGGGGGAGAUGCAUCAAACUUAUGAAUUUUGUCUCUACUAUAAUAAAUUCUAGUCAUUCAUUUAUAUUGAAUCAAUCUAAGAUUUUCGUUUGUUGUGGCUUUAUAUGUUAGACUUAAGCACUCCUUCCAUUUUGUUUUGGCAUUGAAAUCCUUUAAAUCUCUGUCCCAGCCUUCAUAUAUUUUACUUAGCAGAUUACCAUUUACUACAAAAUUAUUGAGAUAGUCAUACAUAACACUUACACCUUUUUUCUUUUUCUUACUUUGUUCCAAAAGUGUCUUUAUCUUUUCCGGAACAUCA